ACUCAUGGGUCUAGGAAUUUGACUUCAAAUGACUAAGAUCCAAUCUAGAUAGGUAAGGUAUCAAUCAACAUAUUUCCUUAAGUCUAGACAACAAUCCUAAACAAGUUCUUUGUCAAGAUAAAUUCUCAUUUAUUCUCAUUGAUCAAACAUCAAAUCAAAUGUCUUUGGUUUGUGUCAUUCAAUCAAUCAUUAAAAACAUGUCCAUUGACUAUCUAAGCUUUCCUAACAUCAAAUGUCU
rnacentral:lncRNA from 1 species